GGGCGAGUGGCGGAAUUGGUAUACGCGCGCGACUCAAAAUCGCGUUCUUCGGAUUGAGGGUUCAAGUCCCUCCUCGCCCACCA
rnacentral:tRNA from 1 species